CAGCCGCCGCGGGAAUACGAAGGGUGCAAGCGUUACUCGGAAUUACUGGGCGUAAAGCGUGCGUAGGUGGUGGUUUAAGUCCGUUGUGAAAGCCCUGGGCUCAACCUGGGAAUUGCAGUGGAUACUGGGUCACUAGAGUGUGGUAGAGGAUAGUGGAAUUUCCGGUGUAGCAGUGAAAUGCGUAGAGAUCGGAAGGAACAUCUGUGGCGAAGGCGGCCAUCUGGGACAACACUGACGCUGAGGCACGAAAGCGUGGGGAGCAAACAGGAUUAGAUACCCCGGUAGUCCCUGUCUCUUAUAU
rnacentral:rRNA from 1 species